rnacentral:tRNA from 1 species
GAGAUGGCUCAGCGGUUCAGAGCACUGACUGUUCUUCCAGAGGUCCUGAGUUCAAUUCCCAGCAACCACA